AUAGUAAAACUAUGUUAGAUAAAUGUGCAAAAGUAAAAACAAAAACAAAUGGCUAAUGUAGAUUUUAUCUCCAGGAAAAACUAACCUCAAAAAAAAGUUUUUUUUAUGGUGAAGUGUAUAGCAGCAUGGUGGCAAGGGCACAGAGGAGAUAGCUAUAACUUUUGAAAGAAAGUGAGGUAAUAUAGUUAGAGUUAUACAAGGAUUUAUAGUAAAAUCAGAAAGCUGGAAGAAGGGUGGAAAAGCAUAAAAUUCCAAGCUCAAAGAGAAGGUGC